rnacentral:lncRNA from 1 species
CAGCCUAUUACUUCUCAAUUGGACUUCAAUCAUGGACCACUCCAUAGACCCGAUUUUUAAAGGGGACUCCAAACUGCUUGCCCCACACCGUCCCUUUUCAGCCUGAAGAAGCCAGAAAGAUCUUCGCCCCACCUUCCUUACAGCAGUAAGGAGUUCCCCAAAUUAGAGGGGGGAAUGAAGCCAGAUUUAAAAUUAGGUAGUCAGUGUAGUUAGGUAAAUUGGGUCUAAUACCCAGUGAAAUCUAAAAUGGAGGCCAUGCUGAGAAUGAUUCCGGGAAACACAGGACAACUCAUGGAAUGCUAAUGAAGUCCCAAAAAGGCCCUAGGCCAAAGUCCAUCCCAAAGAAAUGUUAAUGAAACCCAGGAAACAGCCCCCAGCAGAUUUGGAGAUAGCCCAUCACAAAGAAGUGUUAAUGAAGUCCUUCCUGCCCAGACUACUCCUUUAGCCCACCUGUGUCCCACCUACAUUCCAUCACUGAAAGAACUAUAAAAAGGGGAGACAACCGCACUUCCACGGAUUCCACCUCUUGGGUCCCCUUCUUCCUCGGGAGAAGUCUUUUCUGCUGUCCCUUAAUAAACUUCUAAUUUCUACUCUGACCUUGCCUCGGCGUGUGCUUUUCUGGUGUUAUUCUUCAACAUCGGGGAAGCAAGGACUCGUCACCGGCCAACAGCGGUAAUAUAUGUACAGGACUUGUAUACUGAAGACAGUGAAAUGUUGAAAGAAAUGAAGAAGACCUGAAUAAAUGAAAAGAUAUUUCACAUUCAUGGAUUAUUGCCGCAGUCUGGCUGGGCACAAAAUCACGAGCCACUCAAGCAGGAACAAACUUUAUUUUUGAAACUGCCGCCAAUGCCCCCUAUCCUCCCAGGAAGAUUGCCGACCAACCCACAAGGCUUCUCCAGGCCCCAACAGGAAGUCCCUCCUCCGGAAUCACGCCUUUCUUCUUGUUUUUGGCUUUGCUUUUCAGAAAAGAAUUUGGUAUUUUUUUUUUUUUAAUGAGUAAACCUAAUGAAGUACUAUUCCACACCUUGGGCUACACCCCAAAGAUAUAAAAACUUAUAUCUACAUGCAAACUUAUAUUAAUGUUCAUAAAAGUAUUAUUUAUAAUAAAUAAAAGUUGAGGUAAUCUAAAUGUUCUUUCGUUUAUAAAUAGAUAAAUAAAAUGGAAUAUACUCACACCAUGGAAUAUAACUGGACAACAGAACAAAGAACUGAUAUAUGUCACAACAUGGAUGAAUCUUGAAAAUGCUAUGCUAAGUGAAAAAAGCCAGUCACUUAAGACCAAGUACUACAUGAUCCCAUUUACAUGAGAUAUCCAGAGCAAAUCUUUGGACAACAGGAAGCAGAUUAGUGGACUCAAAGAAACAAGGUGACUGCUAAUGACUACAAGAUCUCUUUUUGAGGUGAUGAAACGUCCUACUGGAGAGUGAUGAGGGAAGUAGCACUUGGAAUAUAUGAAAAAUCCAUGAAUUGCACACUUUCAU